UACGGAAGGGGCAAGCGUUGUUCGGAAUCAUUGGGCGUAAAGGGCGCGCAGGUGGCUCUGUAUGUCUGCCGUGAAAGCAUACAGCUCAACUGUAUUGUGUCGGUAGAAACUGCAGGACUUGAGGCUGGGAGGGGCUGGUGGAAUUCCCUGUGUAGCGGUGAAAUGCGAAGAGAUGGGGGAGAACACUCGUGGCGAAGGCGGCCAGCUAGACCAGUUCUGACACUGAGGCGCGACAGCGUGGGUAGCGAACAGG
rnacentral:rRNA from 1 species